rnacentral:rRNA from 1 species
AAUAGAUACCCUGGUAGUCCACGCCGUAAACGGUGGGCGCUAGGUGUGGGUUUCCUUCCACGGGAUCCGUGCCGUAGCCAACGCAUUAAGCGCCCCGCCUGGGGAGUACGGCCGCAAGGCUAAAACUCAAAGGAAUUGACGGGGGGCCCGCACAAGCGGCGGAGCAUGUGGAUUAAUUCGAUGCAACGCGAAGAACCCUACCUGGGUUUGACAUGUACCGGACGACUGCAGAGAUGUGGUUUCCCUUGUGGCCGGUAGACAGGUGGUGCAUGGCUGUCGUCAGCUCGUGUCGUGAGAUGUUGGGUUAAGUCCCGCAACGAGCGCAACCCUUGUCCUAUGUUGCCAGCGGUUCGGCCGGGGACUCAUAGGAGACUGCCGGGGAUAACUCGGAGGAAGGUGAGGACGACGUCAAGUCAUCAUGCCCCUUAUAUCCAGGGCUGCACGCAUGCUACAAUGGCCGGUACAACGGGCAGCGAUCCCGCGAGGGUGAGCGAAUCCUAAAAAGCCGGUCCUAGUUCGGAUUGAAGUCUGCAACUCGACUU